CGAUGAUGUUUCCUUCUAAUUCCACCUUUGGAUGUGGGCAAAGAAACUACAUUAUCGUCUGAAUCCCCAGUUGAAUCUACUUGUUUCAGCACCUUAUGGCCCUUGACUGCACCUGUUGCUGAGAACUGUAUAUCUUUGUCUGGUACACCUAGGAACUGGGCAAUGAAAAAUGUAUUCCAAUCAGGAAUACAUCAGCUUGUGAAUAUACAGUGUGAAGGCAUUAACCCCUCACAAAAAGGGCAAAUCAUUAUGUCAUGCAGCCAAAGAAUGUGAAUAUCUGGAACAAAAGUGCGCUAAUCAGCAAGCAAUCCUGC
rnacentral:misc_RNA from 1 species